GAUUAGCCUGCGUCCGAUUAGCUAGUUGGUAGGGUAAAGGCCUACCAAGGCGACGAUCGGUAGCUGGUCUGAGAGGAUGACCAGCCACACUGGAACUGAGACACGGUCCAGACUCCUACGGGAGGCAGCAGUGGGGAAUAUUGGACAAUGGGGGCAACCCUGAUCCAGCAAUGCCGCGUGUGUGAAGAAGGCCUGAGGGUUGUAAAGCACUUUCAGUGGGGAGGAGGAUGCUUAGGUUAAGAGCUAGAGUAUUGGACGUUACCCACAGAAGAAGCACCGGCUAACUCCGUGCCAGCAGCCGCGGUAAUACGGAGGGUGCGAGCGUUAAUCGGAAUUACUGGGCGUAAAGGGUGCGUAGGUGGUUGAUUAAGUUAUCUGUGAAAUCCCCGGGCUCAACCUGGGCAGGUCAGAUAAUACUGAUUGACUCGAGUAUAGGAGAGGGUAGUGGAAUUUCCGGUGUAGCGGUGAAAUGCGUAGAGAUCGGAAGGAACACCAGUGGCGAAGGCGGCUACCUGGCCUAAUACUGACACUGAGGCACGAAAGCGUGGGGAGCAAACAGGAUUAGAUACCCUGGUAGUCCACGCUGUAAACGAUGUCAACUAGCUGUUGG
rnacentral:rRNA from 1 species